CAGUAGCCCGGGAAUACAGAGGGUGCGAGCGUUAAUCGGAUUUACUGGGCGUAAAGCGUGCGUAGGCGGCUUUUUAAGUCGGAUGUGAAAUCCCUGAGCUUAACUUAGGAAUUGCAUUCGAUACUGGGAAGCUAGAGUAUGGGAGAGGAUGGUAGAAUUCCAGGUGUAGCGGUGAAAUGCGUAGAGAUCUGGAGGAAUACCGAUGGCGAAGGCAGCCAUCUGGCCUAAUACUGACGCUGAGGUACGAAAGCAUGGGGAGCAAACAGGAUUAGAGACCCCAGUAGUCCCUGUCUCUUAUACA
rnacentral:rRNA from 1 species